rnacentral:rRNA from 1 species
CGGUGUUCUGUCUUACACCAGGGCUACACAUGUGCUACAAUGGCGCAUACAAAGAGAAGCGACCUCGCGAGAGCAAGCGGACCUCAUAAAGUGCGUCGUAGUCCGGAUUGGAGUCUGCAACUCGACUCCAUGAAGUCGGAAUCGCUAGUAAUCGUGGAUCAGAAUCGCACGGUGAAUACGUUCCCGGGCCUUGUACACACACCGCCCGUCACACCAUGGGAGUGGGUUGCAAAAGAAGUAGGUAGCUUAACCUUCGGGAGGGCGCUUACCACUUUGUGAUUCAUGACUGGGGUGAAAUCGUAACAAGGUAACCGUAGGGAACCUGCGGUUGGGAAUUCACCUCCUA